UGGGGAAUAUUGCACAAUGGGCGCAAGCCUGAUGCAGCGACGCCGCGUGAGGGAUGGAGGCCUUCGGGUUGUAAACCUCUUUCGCCAGUGAAGCAGGCCAUCUUCUUUGUGGGGUGGUUGACGGUAGCUGGAUAAGAAGCGCCGGCUAACUACGUGCCAGCAGCCGCGGUAAUACGUAGGGCGCGAGCGUUGUCCGGAAUUAUUGGGCGUAAAGAGCUCGUAGGCGGCUGGUCGCGUCUGUCGUGGAAUCCCCUGGCUUAACUGGGGGCUUGCGGUGGGUACGGGCCGGCUUGAGUGCGGUAGGGGGGACUGGAAUUCCUGGUGUAGCGGUGGAAUGCGCAGAUAUCAGGAGGAACACCGGUGGCGAAGGCGGGUCUCUGGGCCGUUACUGACGCUGAGGAGCGAAAGCGUGGGGAGCGAACAGG
rnacentral:rRNA from 1 species